GGAAUGGUGGUUCAGCAGUAGAAUUCUUGCCUUCCACAAGAGUGUCUGGGUUCAAUUCCCAGCCAAUGUA
rnacentral:tRNA from 1 species